GGAGCAAAGGGCGGGAGGGGUCGGACUGGCCAUGGUGGGGCGGGGUGCCCCCUGGGGUGCCAGGGC
rnacentral:miRNA from 1 species